GAAUAUAAAACUGUGAGUUUUAACUAUUACCUGAUGCAGAAUUAUUUUAAGACAUUUAAAAAUAAGGAAAUUGGUUUAUUGUAUUCAGCUUGAACAGCACUUUUACUAAGCACUUGCCAAGAAAUAAUGAAGAGAAAAGGUUUUACUCAAAGCAUUAUUUUUUAUCUACGUUAGCUGGUUUCAAUCAACAUUAUAGACCAGGAAUCCUCAAAAGUCAUUGCUGGUUUAGUCUUUAUUUUUCAACCAUUUCCUACUAACAAUUUGACUUUAAAUAUCCACUUUCUACAAAAUACUUGUAAUGAGACACCCUUCUUCCAUCUCAUCAAAACAUGCACUUUUGUUGUCUUCCCUGUUCUGAGAGUAAGAUUUUCAUCUUCCUUUCAGUGUAUGCUUUGCUUCAUUAAUUCUGUUGGUAGGUUAUGGUAAUGUUUGUAUUGGUCAUAAAUCAAUCAUUUGGACAAUAUAAAGUAGUAACCAUGUGUGUCUUUGUCUUUAUUUUUAUGUUAUUGCCAUGUGAUUACUACUCUGAAACAUUUGCUGAAUAUCCCCUCUAAUUUAUUACAGGUGUUGGUUGUUCUAUUGUUAAUCCUUAUUAAAUAUUACCAAGGAUUUCCCAAUUAGUACAUUUAUACAUUUUCACACAGAAAGGCAUGUAUUAAAAAGUUGGCCCAAUACUUUUGUGUCAAACUUUCAGAAAUUCAAACAUAUAGAAGGCCCGGGAGACAGAAGCCCUGUGUGGCUCUCUUCUAGGGUUGGCUUCUAGUGACUUUAUAGAUGAUGAUCUGCUAGAGUUUCCAAGAAAAUACAUGCUUGUGACCCCAGUCCUUACUGUGUCCUUACUCCUUUUUUUUUUUCUGUCUGCACAUGAUUCCUGUAUUGCACUUUUCAAUGGGCUUUAAUAACAUAUUUCUGUUGGUGUCUGUUACUAUAUUUCCACCAGAAUAACUCUUUCUUGGGCAUCUAUUUUUCCAUGACAUUUAUUUAAGCUAUACUUAAUUAUUAGAGCAAAACAGAAAAGCAAUGGCUUUUCAUAAAACUGAUUGUAUCUGUUUAUUCAUUUAGAAUUAGCUAUUGCUUUAGUUCAAAACAUACAAGCAGUAGCAAUAUAAGUUGCAUUCAAUGUUACCUCAAUGAAUUUAUUAUCAGAACUAUUAUUAACUUUUCCCCCUUCAGAGCAUGAAAGUGUUUUGUUUUGUUGAAUUCUUUUCCAGUAUGCUCAGGGCUAAAAGUGCUUCAUUGUUUAUAUGCAGAUAUGUUUUGUUAUGCUUAUUUUUUAUUUAGUUUUGUAAUUACAGCAGAAAUUGCUGUGCAGUCAUGUUUAACUAUGAGUGCUAUUUUUAUUUAUUCUGGUGAUCAAGGUUGUCCAAUUCUUUCAAGGCAUCCCAACUCUUCUUUUCUUUCUAACAACGUAGUGCCAAAUAUAUUUCAUCACUGUGCUCUUGUGUGUUGGGCAGUCAUUAAGGAAAGUAUCUAAACUGAUCAAUUCCACUUUUGAUCUUGAAACAAAUAAGGGAUAAGCCUGCUACAUUUAAAAA